GAUGAACGCUGGCGGCGUGCCUAAUACAUGCAAGUCGAGCGAACAGAUAAGGAGCUUGCUCCUUUGACGUUAGCGGCGGACGGGUGAGUAACACGUGGGUAACCUACCUAUAAGACUGGGAUAACUUCGGGAAACCGGAGCUAAUACCGGAUAACAUUUGGAACCGCAUGGUUCUAAAGUGAAAGAUGGUUUUGCUAUCACUUAUAGAUGGACCCGCGCCGUAUUAGCUAGUUGGUAAGGUAACGGCUUACCAAGGCGACGAUACGUAGCCGACCUGAGAGGGUGAUCGGCCAAACUGGAACUGAGACACGGUCCAGACGCCUACGGGAGGCAGCAGUAGGGAAUCUUCCGCAAUGGGCGAAAGCCUGACGGAGCAACGCCGCGUGAGUGAUGAAGGGGUUCGGCUCGUAAAACUCUGUUAUUAGGGAAGAACAAAUGUGUAAGUAACUGUGCACGUCUUGACGGUACCUAAUCAGAAAGCCACGGCUAACUACGUG
rnacentral:rRNA from 1 species